AUUGAAUAGUUCAUGAGGAAAUUGCGAGAAUAGGAGAGAAUUGAUGACAGUUCGCAAUGGAUAAUUGCAUUCUUGGUCUCGAAAUGGAGAACACUCAAAGGAUCAGAGGCUACAGUCUCCAGACGUUUGCGAUUGUUGGGGCUGGACAAUAGACCCAAGCAACAGUGAAGCUACGUGUCAGUUUUAUUUGGAUGUGGAUGCAACGUUGGUUGGAAAAUGCAGAAGAAUCGGUAUACAGAAUUUCCCAGGUGAUUGAUGACACUGUUUGUUGGUAGCCAAGG